AUUAAAGUGGGUGUCCAACUGCUGAAGAUGUUUGUUUAGUGUUUUCUAGAAUCAAUUGGAUUAAGUGGGAGUGAAAAACAAAUUUAUACGAGGAAAGAGUGUUUGGCGAAGGAAAAUAAGAUGUCAGAUACAGCCCUAUUCAACAAACAAGAAACAACACUUCUUCAGCUAAACUACACAUAUGUUGGGAGUUGGAAGUCAAGUCAAAUACUAGUUUAUAUGCCUUGCAACAAUUAUCUACGAAGGCUGUGAAGUUGUUCAAUAGCUCAUCAUCGCUCUUUCUAGAUGCUGACUGUUCUUUAUAUUUUUUUUAUAUAAUAAUUUGCAGAUAGCAAAUGAUGCCCUUUUUAUCUGUGGUGGAGCUUUUGUGGUUUAAAGAAGACAAUUUCAGACAGGUUAUGUGUCAAGCUCAAUUAAUUUCAUGAAACACAUUUAGGUUAAGUGAUAUAUUAUGGUUCAGCUUUAUCAUUCCUUUACUCCCAGAUGACAAUAUUCUUCAAUUGGAUUUGGAGCACCUGUUCAAACUAACAUGAGAAUUGGUGGUCUAACUGAUGCUGGAGUUACAUCAUCACUUCUUUUCCGGAUCACUAUUCUGUAAAUCUAGUGAUUUUAUGACUCUUUAUUCUCGUGAAAUUCUUAAAAUAAAAUGCAUCAGAAGCAUUUGUUUGACAUUGCUUUCUGUAUCCCGGUAGAAAGUGAUGAUCUCACUGUGUAUGGACUCAUACCUGAAUUGGUUAGGUGGUUUCCAGUUUUAGGAGUUUGAUGGAUAUAUUGGUCACUACUUUUAGGCUCUUUUCUAGGGAUGUAAUUAUUUGUGGAAUCUUUAUGGUGAAAUACUUGGUUAAGAUCAACUAUAUUUCUGGGUUCUUUGUUGUUUUUAUUUUUCCUUUAAAAUAUACCAAGAGUUGAUUGCCUGUUGUUAUACUGUUGGAUGCUAUUUUUUUCCUAAUAUAUAUGAAGAUUAAUAAUCAGUAUGUUGCUAUGCUCUAUAGUUAAGUCGCUACAGUGGCUUGGUCAUAGCAGCUAGAACUCGGUUGUAUUGUGUGUGACUUUUCCUUUUUCUGUUUCCUCACUCUUAGAGCUCUGCUUUUCCUGUGAUAGACAAAGAAUUAUCUUCAGAAAUGUUGGUUUCCUUUUGACUAGUACAUUCGUGUUGGCACGACACUUGUUAAAGUUAUUAUACUGAUUGAAACUUUACUAAGUGAUUGUUGUUGUUAUUUAAUAAUAAUAAUGUUAUUCAUUAUUAAUAUUAAUAUUUUUUAUUUUCAUUAUUAUCUUUUCCAUCUGCAGCCAAUUAAACUGCAAAUUGUUUCCUUUUGUUGGUAGAGACUAGGGAAAACAGACUUUUGGAGGACCCAAAAAAAUGGCGAAUUUGUCUAUUUCAAACAUACUCGAGAAGGACAAGGACUAGAGAUAUAUGACAACUUCUUAUUUGCUAAUUGAGUUAAACAAAGAGGGGUUUCAACUUGAUGUUGAGCUUGAAAGGGAAGUUAUCAAGUGCAAUUUUGCAGCAGCUUGAUGAUGCAGUCGAUAAUGUUUCUGGAUAUGCUGUCAAAUGAUAGACACGAAAGAUUUCCUUUUUAUCUGCGGUGGUGCUUUUGUUGGUUUAGAGAAGACAAUUUCAGAAAGAUGACAAGAUCUUUCAAUUGGACUUGGAGCACCAGUGCGAACUAACAUGAGAACUGGCGGUCUAACUGAUGCUGUAGUCACAUCAUCACCAUUGGAAUCUGUGAGGAGAUCCCUGUGAAAAUUAUGAAGAGCAUAGUUCUAUCAUUAGCUAUUUUAUUCUGGAAAAGAAGGAAGCAACAAAAGAAGACUUGGACUCGGACUCUGAGGCUCCAGCAAGAGCCUUGUGCUUGUGAUCUAAGUGUCUGUUUCUUUUCAAAAAUAUUUUGUGAAUUCUUGUAUAUAAAGUAUUAGAAAACGUGCAAAGCUAAUUGGGGUUCCUUGUUCAAAAGAAGGCUUUUUUGAAAACCUAGAUUUUAAAACUCCGAACCGAAUGUUUCUAUUAGUUCCCCACCGCCUUUUCCGCAGGACACCUGAUCCAAUCCAUUUUGAUUUCCAGGAUGGUGCUUUAUGCAGUUGUAUUUGUACAAUUCCUCCAACAUCCCCACCCCACCCUACCCUCCCAAAAAAAGGGGGAGUUAUCUCUUGUUAUAUCAUGUGAACUAGAGAUUCAAUAUAUUGUAAUGGUACGGUGAGGUUUGCUUUGAUCUGCUCGCCCUCUUUAUUCCUUUUCUAUGCUUCAACAGGAGAUAGAUGGUAUUUGCAUGAGUUGGACACAGCAUUCUGCAAUCAUAAUAGAACAUCAAGGUUCCUCUGAGGAGAUUAAUCAAAUCUUUGGUUAUGACAGUAAAGUUUUUUCAUGAAAAUAC